AUAAAUUAAAGAAUAAAUAAAUCUGUUCUUAUCAGUUUAAUAUCUGAUACGUCCCCUAUCUGUGGACCAUGUAUUAAAUGGAUUUUCUGAACAGGGAGUUGGAAAAAGACUGAUGGGUUAGUUAAUUGGCUUAUCACCUGAAUGAAGUGUUCGGACCUCCACGCACCUUGGUUUUGCUUUGGGCCAGUUGUGCACACUUG